rnacentral:rRNA from 1 species
AGGAUGAACGCUGGCGGCGUGCCUAACACAUGCAAGUCGCACGAGAAAGGGUAGCAAUACCUGAGUACAGUGGCGCACGGGUGAGUAACACGUGAAUAAUCUACCUCCGAGUGGGGAAUAACUGAGAGAAAUCUUAGCUAAUACCGCAUAACACUUACGAGUCAAAGCAGCAAUGCGCUUGGAGAGGAGUUCGCGGCAGAUUAGUUAGUUGGCGGGGUAAUGGCCACCAAGACGAUGAUCUGUA